ACAUGGGACAGGGCAGGAGGAGAGAGGAGUCCUGUAGUCAGAUUGGGGAGAGAGGUGAAUAGGUAUAGUGAUGGUGACAGUAAAGGUAACAUGGAUAGGGUGUGCUCAGGAUACAGGGCUGAAGCUGCUACAAAGUAACUGUGGAAAUAAAUAGUAACAUGGAAACAGAAGUAAGGUAAAGCAGCCAGGGACAGCGGUGCGGCGUCAGACUGGGGUAAUAUAACCAGACACAGGAGUGACCAGGGGGAUGACCAGGAAAAGGAUGACAACGGCCAAGAAACCUCCAACCGAAGCUCCAACCAAAACUGCAACCGUGGAAUCCCUCUCUGGAGGAACUAAGGGGAAAGGACAAAGAAGGGAACCACAGUGAAAGUAAUUUAGACUGUCAAAUAUAUGGUUGCCAUGCAAAGCCACGCCAAGGCCCUGAAGCGAGGAGGGGGUAUGAUCAUCGGUCACCGCUGAUUUUCUGACAUGUGAUGAUGAUACGGGACGAAAAAUUGGAAGGCAUCAUCAAUGAGAAUGUAAAAUGACAAUGAGGGAAGUCUGCAUCCUGACCCUCAGUAGUGAGUGUGACUGAAGGCAAUGGCCACACAUUCCUAAUGACAGUGACUGUAGCAGUGAAUCUGGUAAUAUAACUUUAUACCAUCUGUUCAAAUAAACAGAAUACGUCCUAA